UUCACAUCCUGGUAAAGCGGCUAUCAACAAAUAUAUAUAUACCUCUGCCAAUCAAAGCACUGCACGGGAGAAGGGAAGAUGAAGAAAACAGUCGUCUGACUUUUCUUGCCACUGCUUUGAAACCCACCGCCCCAACCUGGUGUUUAUCUCGCUUCAUUUCUCCUUUUCCUGUGAUCACCGCUGCGGCGCAGUGAAUCAAGGGACAGAACUCCACGUCAGCUGCACACAGGUUGCAGACGACAACAUGGUGGCAGUUGAAGAAAAUGGCGUUAGCUGUGCGAGCUUCACACACGCAGCAUGGUAUGGCUUCUCUUCCCUCCAGUGUCGACGCCCCUGCAGCGAACAGACGUCAAGUAUAACAGGCAAAACGACGCCCCACGGUCCAGCAGCGAGAAGGUGGGAGGAGGGUGGAGGUCCCCCGUCGUGUAGCCGCAGUCAGGGGUCCAGGACGUCCUCGCCGUCAAGCACGUCAAGCACGCCCAAUGGGUCAUCUGGCCACGGUGCCUAAUCAACAACACUAUGUCGCAGGUAUGACAAGAUCUGAAGUCGUAGAAGACAGAAGAGAGGGACUCGCUAGGAUUGUUGGCAUUAGGUUGACAAUGUACCCUGUGAUUGCUAUUGACAUCAGCUGCUUUACACUAUUUCAUUGUAACCACUACAAGCAGACCUGUUGUUUGAUUUUAUAAUAAACAACUGCUAUAGGCUGUAACUGCU